GACGUAGGAGGCGAGCGUUAUCCGGAUUCACUGGGCGUAAAGCGCAUGUAGGCGGUUCGUCAAGUCGUGUGUUAAAGCCCCUGGCUCAACUGGGGGGAGGUCAUGCGAGACUGACAGACUUGAGGGCAGGAGAGGGAAGCGGAAUUCCCGGUGUAGUGGUGAAAUGCGUAGAUAUCGGGAGGAACACCAGUGGCGAAGGCGGCUUCCUGGCCUGUUCUUGACGCUGAGGCGGCGAAAGCUAGGGGAGCAAACGGG
rnacentral:rRNA from 1 species